GACGAACGCUGGCGGCGUGCUUAACACAUGCAAGUCGAACGAAAAGAGGGAAAGAGCUUGCUCUUUCCGGAAUUGAGUGGCAAACGGGUGAGUAACACGUAAACAACCUGCCUUCAGGAUGGGGACAACAGACGGAAACGACUGCUAAUACCGAAUAAGUUCCAAGAGCCGCAUGGCCCAUGGAAGAAAAGGUGGCCUCUACCUGUAAGCUAUCGCCUGAAGAGGGGUUUGCGUCUGAUUAGCUGGUUGGAGGGGUAACGGCCCACCAAGGCGACGAUCAGUAGCCGGUCUGAGAGGAUGAACGGCCACACUGGAACUGAGACACGGUCCAGACUCCUACGGGAGGCAGCAGUGGGGAAUCUUCCGCAAGGGGCGAAAGCCUGACGGAGCAACGCCGCGUGAGUGAGGACGGCCUUCGGGUUGUAAAACUCUGUGAUCCGGGACGAAAAGGCAGAGUGCGAAGAACAAACUGCAUUGACGGUACCGGAAAAGCAAGCCACGGCUAACUACGUG
rnacentral:rRNA from 1 species